CCAAUGUAAAAAUAAUUUAAGUGCAUUCAUUUUAUGAUGGUAAAUGUUAUUUAUUGAUAUAUUUUUUAGACAUGGAUUCUCACUGUGACACCCAGGCUGGAGUGCAGUGGUAUGAUCAUAGGUGACUACAGUCUCGAAUUCCUGGGCUCAAGCAAGCCUUUCACCUCAGCCUCCCCAGAAGCUGGGAUUACAGAUGGUGUCAGAAGCGUCGUUCAAAGUAGAGAGCUUUAA
rnacentral:lncRNA from 1 species